CAUACAUUGAGGUGAUAAGCAUGUACAUUGAAUUAAUGAUGUAAGGCUCAUAACCUGACAGUCCAGACAGACAGUAUGUAUGACCUCGUAAUAUUUAGGUUGUGUAAUAUUUGUGAGGGGAAAUUACUGUCAUACCAAUGAGGGAUGUGGACAGAGAGUGCCCUUUCUCUAAGCUCAAGCCAUGCUCAAAAUCACAGUAGCACUAGCCUUUAGGUCUUAGUUACAAAGUUUUCGCACUGACUCAAUCACAGCUACAGCCACACAUGUUUUGGCUAAUAUUCCAUCCUUAUAUGGAACCUGCAUGUGGUCCAGGCUUUUGUUCCAGCCCAGCACCAGCUCACUGGAUACAACUAAUCAACCGACCAUAAAGCCCUUGAUGUCAGGGGUGUGUACAGGCGGCGAAGUCAUCUGUGAUGUUUUUCUCCACAGGGGCACAGAUACUUUCUUCAGAAAUACGCCAGUCUGAAUGUAGCUCUCCGCUCAAGCGGAGUGAGGGAAUAGAAACCAGGUGUGUGAAAAAAACAAAUCAAAACCAAUGGAAAAUGAAAAGUGGAUCGACAAUGGCGAGCGCCGCACGAACAAGGAGAGGACCCGACUUCGGCGGAAGUCGUGACAUGCGCAAUGUAUCUGCUUAUAAUGCUUCCUCUCCUGCAUACAUUUGUCAGAGAAACGGUAACCACUAUUACUUUGCUACUCAGUAUGACCGUGGCAGGAGGAUCCCUCUGUACUCUGUCUAUGAAAUGGAUAUCAAAGGGGUUCCUGGCAGAGAGGGGUCCAUAGUUUAUUAUGAACCACAGUUUAUGCGUCCUGACCUAACACUACAGCAAAUGGAUAAGAAAGGAUCCUUGAGUGAGAUCAAAAAAUACAACCAAAACAAUGGCUGCAGAGAAAGCUCUCCACAAUACCGACAGAACUAAAGCAUGUGGGUAGACCAGAACGAGCAAGUCAAUGUUCCGAGUUACUACUGGAAUGCCUACUGCUGCACUAACAAGAACCGCAACUCUCUCAUGUCUGGAGGUGCCUUGAGAAAUAACAGCUCAGGGGUGUUAAAGAUGAUCUUAACUCUGACACUGUGCUUCGAGGGCUACUGAGUGUUUGGCAACAAUUUCAUAUUCCAUUAUGAUCUGGUAUGAUUUUGAAUUCAUGCUUAGAUUCAUACAUGGUUUGGCGGGGAAUUCCCAAGGAGAUGUUUGAAAAUUAGCCACGUUAGCUACAUCAGAAUUUUUAAACAUAUCCCUGAACAUAAAUAUUAUCCUAUUGAUCAAAUUUGUGGUUAAAAUGUAUUACAAAUUCAAAACGUAUCCUUUGUGGUAAUUAUUCGUAAAGCGUAUGUUUGUUUGUUUGGUCACACAGAGUUGUGCAAUCACGUCUUUGUGAAUGCUUGUUGCUAUGAAUCUAUAACCCAAUAAAGCUUGUUUUGUGAAAGUAGGAAA